rnacentral:rRNA from 1 species
AUGAGUCGUCAUGAUGGCAUCAACAUCCCCGAUGGCAAGUUCUACCUAGGAGAUGCUGGCUAUGCAUGUCGGCCAGGUGUUCUACCACCCUUCAAGAAAACCAGGUACCAUCUAAAUAAGUUCUCUGGUAGAAACUAUCUUAGGACUCCUCAGGAACUGUUCAAUCUCAGAUACUCCAGCCUCAGAGUUAUUGUUAAGAGGGCCUUUGGAGCUUUGAAGAACAGGUUUAAGAUCCUGGAUCGGAAGCUAUUCCACCCUUACCCUACCCAGGUCAAGCUUGUUCUUGCGUGUUGCAUUAUACACAACUGGAUCCUGCAAUGGGGAAUUGAUGAACUUGUGCCGGAGGAGGAAGAUGUGACUCCUGAUGAGGUGAUCAGCUCCGGCCAUGGUGUGGAGGCGUUCGACAAUGAAGCAUGGAAGAACAAAAGGUUGGAGUGGGCUCAAACAAUG